rnacentral:lncRNA from 1 species
UUUUUGGUGUGUGUAUUUUUUGGAAUGUUAGUUGGUUCUCGGAUCUUCAAAAGAUAGAAGAAACAAAACGAGAGACGCGCCUAUUAUUAAUAUACCUAUAUUAUGUGUACAAUAAAUUUAUAAAUAGAAAAAAAAAAUCACAUUUCUUGAAUACGUCACAUAUUCAUCUCAACAACACUGUCUUUCCUUAUUAGAGCCUCUGCUGCUUUUUGUACGUUGUUUUGUUUUGUUCAGAUAUAGAAAUAUCAGAAAUAAUCAUUACAAAAAAAAAAAAAAAAAUGUUAACUCUUAUUAAAAAAAGAAGAUUUGUGUUUUAAUUUGCAAAAUUAUCUACAAAUAAUAAUAGAUAACGCGGCAUCUUGUAUCCAACGUGUCUUUCAAAAGUCUGAAACGUAUCCUUUAUUUGUGUAUAUUAUUUAGUAAAAAUAGUUUUUAUCUCAUAAUUAACCCAUUUACGUAAUAUUAGCAUAAUUAAUUGUGCAUCAUAAUAAAUCACCUAAUAACUAGCGGAUCUUGUGUGUGUGCUUCAUUGAAAUUCAAGUUACAAAAAUAACUACAAGAGACUUUAUUAAAUUAAAAUUAAUUAAAAACAACGUUUAACAAUAACGUUGUGAAUAUCCCACUCAUUGCCUUUCAUCAACAAUUUUCCUUACAAUUUUUAAACAAAAAUUGUUUUAAGUUUUUUUCUAUAGUGUAUUUCUUUGACUUUUGUGUUUUUUUUUAAAAGUAAUAGUUCACUAAUUAUCUAUCUACAUGUUCCCCUGUAUAUUACAAGUGUUCUUCAUUUAAGAAAAAUUUAAAUUACUACCUUAUUAAUUUUAACAAAAGACUAUUUUUUUCCUUCAAAAAAUAUUUGAAUAAAUCACUUAUGAGGAAAACCAUCAUCAAAUGCUUGCAUCAAAAUAUUUAUACUUUUUGAGGACAUCUUAUAUCUAAGCACGUCAAAGUGUUCGCUGUAGCUUCUGUUGGUCUCUUUUUGAUUUUGUUAGCAUUUCGUAUUAUCAUUUAUAA